UGAUGCUAAAUCUGGAUAGAAGAUUGAGGCUGGAAUGCACUUUCUUUGAAAAGUAAUGCCAUAAGAUGAGUCGGCGGCUGAUUAGGCUGUUGGUGAGGUAAUGGCUCACCAAACCUGAGAUCAGUAGGGGGAGUGAGAGCUCUAGCCCCGAGAAGGACACUGAGAAAAGGGUCCUAGUCCUAAGGGACGCAGCAGUCGCGAAAACUUUACAAUGCACGAAAGUGUGAUAAGGGGAUUCCAAGUGCUUUACCUUCGGGUAAGGCUUUUGCCAAGUCCAAAUAGCUUGGCGAAUAAGUGAUGGGCAAGACCGGUGCCAGCCGCCGCGGUAACACCGGCGUCACAAGUGGGGAUCAUAUUUAUUGGGUCUAAAGCAUCCGUAGCUGGUUUAGUAAAUCUUUUGUGAAAUCGUUGUGCUUAACAUAACGACGUGCAAAAGAAACUGCUAGACUUGGGACCGGGAGAGGUUAGGGGUAUUCUGAGGGGAGCGGUAAAAUGUGAUAAUCCUUAGAGGACCACCAAUGGCGUAGGCACCUAACUAGAACGGGUCCGACGGUGAGGGAUGAAGGCUAGGGGAGCGAUCCGGAUUAGAUACCCGAGUAGUCCUAGCAGUAAACUCUGUGAGCUAU
rnacentral:rRNA from 1 species